rnacentral:rRNA from 1 species
ACACCGCCCGUCGCUCCUACCGAUCGAGUGUUUAGAUGAACUUGACGGACUCACGGAAGUUAAGUAAAUCUGAUCACUUAGAGGAAGGAGAAGUCGUAACAAGGUUUCCGUAGGUGAACCUGCGGAAGGAUCAUUCCUGUAAACGCUGUUUUCUUUUAAGCUCAUCCAGCCUUCUGCUGUGUAAAUUGGUUAUUUUGCUUUGGAGAUGUCGGGUGCUGAGCCGAGGAAGGACGCAGUUAAACGCGAUAUUCAACCUGAAUCGCAAAACUGCUGAUGGUCGGGUGUCUGAAUGCUCAAAGCCGGGAACUAUUGAUCACGCCCAAAAUCAUCCAUUCAGUGUUGCAUUCCGCGUGAUUUGCAAUUUUCAAAAUAUUUUCACGUGAUCAAUAGUGGGCAAUGUAGUUAAUUUAAGCUUAUAAGUUAAUACACAAAGAAACUAAAAAGGAUGGACUGAGUAGUGGCGAAUGAAAAGUCCAAAGACCGAUCCGAAUUCAAGUUGUGGAUCCCAAAGGGCGGAAGACUCCAAAUUACCUGAAACGGUAGGCCCAAGAGAGUGAAAGCCUCUUUAGAGUCGGAAGUUCUU